rnacentral:lncRNA from 1 species
UAGCCCUUUUCCAUCUUUGUAAUGACUUGAACGACAAAAGUUCAGGCAGGGUGGCAGGAAAGGGCAGUGGUUCCAAGCUCUGGGUCUCGGUACUACCUAGACCUGGACUGAGGUCGGCUCGGCCACUGAUUUGCAAGUGUCCUAACGCUCAGUGAAGAGUAACUGCUCUAAUUUCUUAUCUGUAAACUGGGGCUAAGAAAUGAGUACCUACCUCAUAGGGUUGUUGUGAGGAACUCAAGCUGUGAUGUCUGUAAAGUGCUUACCAGUGUCUGCCACUUAAGCGCUGAACUAAUGGUUAAUUGAGAACUGCAGCUGGGGUCGGGAGGGGGCUCUGCGUCAUUGUUGGGUCUGAGAUUGUUGAUGCCUUGUAUCUACCUAACUGCUCUUUGAAACUGAUUGUGCUGUUGCCCUGCUUGUCAGCUCCUACAGUCCCUCGCGGUUGGAUGGGAUGUGGAGGGUGGCAGCGCCCAGGGUUGAUAAAGGGGCCUGGAGUGGAGCCUUGAGCUUCCGGAACAUAGAGGCAAUGUGGGCUGUUCACCUCAUUUCUGUCCAUCUUGGAUUGCUUAAUUUGGUUGUUGCCCUUCAUCUUUCUCCCUUCAUUGGGAAUUACUUGUUAAAACUGCUCUUCCUCUCCAUAUGUAAUCCGUCCAUGCCAUAGUUCCCUAGAUGGUCUGGGAGCUGGGUGGGUCCUGCCUGUUCUCUACUAUAUAUAAGCCAUAACGUGGCAGGCAGUGUAAGGAACCCCAUAUCCAUAGCCAAGGAGAGCAGCUGCUCUGUGCGCACAGGGGAGGGAAAGUAGACCCAGCUGUGAGACCUGGGCUUCACGCCCCCUUCCCUGCACCUUAGGAAGGAGGCCCAAGCAGCCCUUAUAAGGAAAGAGUGUAGCCAUGCUCAGAGCUCAGUGGCCUUGAGAUUGGCCUCUGUAGUCAGGAGUCCGGGGAUUCAUUUCUUGAGUUCUAUUCCUAAUUCUGUUUUCAAUCUACAGGUGACCCUGGCAGUAACCCCAACAAACGCCAGCGGCAGCCCCCUCUCCUGGGAGAUCAUCCCGCAGAAUAUGGAGGGCCCCAUGGUGGGUACCACAGCCAUUACCAUGAUGAGGGCUACGGGCCCCCCCCACCUCACUACGAAGGGAGAAGGAUGGGCCCACCUGUGGGGGGUCACCGCCGGGGCCCAAGUCGCUAUGGCCCCCAGUAUGGUCAUCCCCCACCCCCUCCCCCACC